rnacentral:snRNA from 1 species
GUGCCCUCUCUCCCUUCCUUUUAAAGGGCUGGCACAAUUAAGGACAGCACAAAUAUUAAUACUGGAGGGGGACAGAGAAGAUUAGCACGGCCUCUGCUCAAGGAUGACAUGCAAAUUUGGGAAGUGUUCUGUAUUUAA